rnacentral:rRNA from 2 species
GGGGAAUAUUGCACAAUGGAGGGAACUCUGAUGCAGCGACGCCGCGUGAGCGAAGAAGGUUUUCGAAUCGUAAAGCUCUGUCCUAUGGGAAGAUAGUGACGGUACCAUAGGAGGAAGCCCCGGCUAACUACGUGCCAGCAGCCGCGGUAAUACGUAGGGGGCUAGCGUUGUCCGGAAUUACUGGGCGUAAAGGGUUCGCAGGCGGAAUUGCAAGUCAUAUGUGAAAUUCAGAGGCUUAACCUCUGCAAGCAUGUGAAACUGUAAUUCUUGAGAUAUGGAGAGGUAAGUGGAAUUCCUAGUGUAGCGGUGAAAUGCGUAGAUAUUAGGAGGAAUACCAGUGGCGAAGGCGACUUACUGGCCAUAAACUGACGCUGAGGAACGAAAGCGUGGGGAGCAAACA